GCUAAGUUAGUUUAAGUUAAGAAUUUUUGAUUUGUAAUUAAAUGGUUUAGUUAGCUU
rnacentral:tRNA from 1 species